rnacentral:rRNA from 1 species
GACGAACGCUGGCGGCGUGCUUAACACAUGCAAGUCGAACGGAAAGGCCCUGCUUUUGUGGGGUGCUCGAGUGGCGAACGGGUGAGUAACAAGUGAGUAACCUGCCCUUGACUUUGGGAUAACUUCAGGAAACUGGGGCUAAUACCGGAUAGGAGCUCCUGCUGCAUGGUGGGGGUUGGAAAGUUUUGGCGGUUGGGGAUGGACUCGCGGCUUAUCAGCUUGUUGGUGGGGUAGUGGCUUACCAAAGCUUUGACGGGUAGCCGGCCUGAGAGGGUGACCGGCCACAUUGGGACUGAUAUACGGCCCAGACUCCUACGGGAGGCAGCAGUGGGGAAUAUUGCACAAUGGGCUGAAGCCUGAUGCAGCAACGCCGCGUGCGGGAUGACGGCCUUCGGGUUGUAAACCGCUUUCGCCUGUGACGAAGCGUGAGUGACGGUAAUGGGUAAAGAAGCACCGGCUAACUACGUG